rnacentral:rRNA from 1 species
CAGGACACAUGAACAUCGACAUUUUGAACGCAUAUUGCGGUCCAUACUGACUAGUUUCUUAACCGAAGCUGUAUGGACCACACAUGGUUGAGGGUCGUUAGAUUAUGCUAACCGAAUUGCUUUUAAUUAAGCGACAUGUUGAGGUGUUAUCACCCUUAAGUGGGUGAUAUCCCUUGGAAUUACCAAAAUUUAUUUUGGUACACAAAUAUUAUGUUUGUGAAUGCCAUAUAAUCAAAGUAAAUUAUAGAAUUUUAAACUUUAAAAAUUAGUAAACUUUGAUUAAAGCGUUUCGUAAAAAAUUCGCAUUUCAAUUUGUUGAACAUUUUUAUCUUUGAAUACUGGAAAUAUAAUAAUUUAUUUUAUAUGUUUGCAUUCUUUUAAUAUUUGAACAAAAAACAUAAAAGCGACCUCAACUCAUGUGAGACUACCCCC